rnacentral:rRNA from 1 species
GUCCACGCCCUAACGAUGUCAACUGGUUGUUGGUCUUAACUGACUCAGUAACGAAGCUAACGCGUGAAGUUGACCGCCUGGGAGUACGCCGCAAGGUUGAACUCAAGGAAUUGACGGGACCCGCACAAGCGGUGGAUGAUGUGGUUUAAUUCGAUGCAACGCGAAACCUUUACCCACCUUUGACAUGUACGGAAGGAUCCAGAGAUGGAUUUGUGCUCGAAAGAGAACCGUAACACAGGUGCUGCAUGGCUGUCGU